ACACCUCAACUCUCAUGGUCUGCCAUGACGAGCUUGGACUUUGGGGGUCUUGCCGGCCUAGCGUCGGCUCCUCUCAAAUGGAUCAGCUUCCCAGUGUUUGGUGGCGUCACAGGUGUGAUAACUAUCUACGCUUGUGGUUUUCCGCCAUUAACCUUCAGCAAUGGAGGUUCGCUGGAGCUCACAGAUGUCUCUCCUUGAGGAGGACAGCUUCUUGAAC
rnacentral:misc_RNA from 1 species